rnacentral:rRNA from 1 species
AUCCUGGCUCAGGACGAACGCUGGCGGCGUGCUUAACACAUGCAAGUCGAACGCUGAAGCCUAGCUUGCUGGGUGGAUGAGUGGCGAACGGGUGAGUAACACGUGAGUAACCUGCCCUCUUCUUUGGGAUAACGCCCGGAAAUGGGUGCUAAUACUGGAUAUUCACUGGUCUUCGCAUGGGGGUUGGUGGAAAGGGUUUUUCUGGUGGGGGAUGGGCUCGCGGCCUAUCAGCUUGUUGGUGGGGUGAUGGCCUACCAAGGCUUUGACGGGUAGCCGGCCUGAGAGGGUGACCGGUCACAUUGGGACUGAGAUACGGCCCAGACUCCUACGGGAGGCAGCAGUGGGGAAUAUUGCACAAUGGGCGCAAGCCUGAUGCAGCGACGCCGCGUGAGGGAUGGAGGCCUUCGGGUUGUGAACCUCUUUCGCUCAUGGUCAAGCCGCAACUGUGGGUUGUGGUGAGGGUAGUGGGUAAAGAAGCGCCGGCUAACUACGUGCCAGCAGCC